rnacentral:rRNA from 1 species
AUGAGCUUUUGGGGAGCAACAGUAAUUACAAGCUUAGCUAGCGCCAUACCAGUAGUAGGAGAUACCAUAGUGACUUGGCUUUGGGGUGGUUUCUCCGUGGACAAUGCCACCUUAAAUCGUUUUUUUAGUCUCCAUCAUUUACUCGCCCUUGUUCUUCCUUUUGAUUUAAACGUUCUCCCCCCGGGAGCUGCAGAAUUCUGGCAGGGGCAGCCCCCUUUUCCAGAUCAUGAAAAUGUGGUGGAGAGUGAUGAUUCAUCAACUGAUUCAUCAGGGAGUUCAUCUGAUGAUUCAUCAACUGAUUCAUCAGGGAGUUCAUCUGAUGAUUCAUCAACUGAUUCAUCGGAUCUCGACACGGAUUAUGAUGAGCUAACUGAUGAUUCAUCAACUGAUUCAUCAGGGAGUUCAUCUGAUGAUAUGGACUGCUCUGAAGGAACACCCCCCCCCCUGAAGGGAAUGAAAGCCGUCUGA